UACGUAGGGUGCAAGCGUUACUCGGAAUUACUGGGCGUAAAGCGCGCGUAGGCGGUGAGUUAAGUCUGAUGUGAAAUCCCCGGGCUCAACCUGGGAAUGGCAUUGGAUACUGGCUCGCUAGAGUGCGGUAGAGGGUGGUGGAAUUCCCGGUGUAGCAGUGAAAUGCGUAGAGAUCGGGAGGAACAUCUGUGGCGAAGGCGGCCACCUGGACCUACACUGACACUGAGGCACGAAAGCGUGGGGAGCAAACAGG
rnacentral:rRNA from 1 species